rnacentral:rRNA from 1 species
AACGAACGCUGGCGGCAUGCCUAAUACAUGCAAGUCGAACGAGAUCUUCGGAUCUAGUGGCGCACGGGUGCGUAACGCGUGGGAAUCUACCCUUGGGUUCGGAAUAACUUCGGGAAACUGAAGCUAAUACCGGAUGAUGACGUAAGUCCAAAGAUUUAUCGCCCAGGGAUGAGCCCGCGUAGGAUUAGCUAGUUGGUGGGGUAAAGGCCUACCAAGGCGACGAUCCUCAGCUGGUCUGAGAGGAUGAUCAGCCACACUGGGACUGAGACACGGCCCAGACUCCUACGGGAGGCAGCAGUAGGGAAUAUUGGACAAUGGGCGCAAGCCUGAUCCAGCAAUGCCGCGUGAGUGAUGAAGGCCUUAGGGUUGUAAAGCUCUUUUACCCGAGAUGAUAAUGACAGUAUCGGGAGAAUAAGCCCCGGCUAACUCCGUGCCAGCCGCCGCAGUAAGAC